rnacentral:misc_RNA from 1 species
CCUAUUUACACUAAGGAAAACUGGAGAUAAACAAACAGAACUGAUUGGUGGAUCAGAUGUAUAUAUGCCUGUGUGUCGGAAGCAUUAUUUGGAUGGCCAGAUUGUUAUCGGAGCUGCAAAGAUUGUGAUGGAAUCCGGGAAGAUGGUGUCUAACUUCUGAAUCAGCUGCUUCUUCGUGUGAAGUGUAGGUUUUAUUUAUCAAUCUGGUGUUGUGGG